UCAAUCUUUUUCAAUGGUAAAUCAAACUACUAUGAUGAUUUAUCUAAAACAUAAGUGGUUGCUUAGCAGGAAUGAAAUGGGGUGCUUCAGCGGUGCCACUGGUGCUCUUUGUUAUAAGACCGAUUGUAUUGCGUGUAUAUGAAAAAAAAAACAACAAACAUCACUUUAUGAAAUACUAAAAUAUAUCUUAUGACACCAGAAAGUUAUGACAAUUCUUGUAAAGUAAAUUAAGAUUAUCUUUUUCACUUUGAAUAUAUGAUUGAUUGAAUGUGAUAAAUAUUCUUAAAUAGGCCGGCCGCCCAAUGGUUAUUAACGCCUGAGUUUGAGACCCCGUUUACACGGAAUUUGCACCGUACGUUUUUUUGGAAGAUAAAUCUUACCAUAUGCGUAGUGGCGCAUACAUUGAGUAUAGGAUCGUUCACAAGUGACGUAUAGCAAAAAACGUACGCAGUUUUUAACCAUCUGAACGGCUCUGUACUGAUGAGCGACAGAUUUUUAGCAGCUUAGACUCCAUUCACACGGAAUUUGCACUGCACGUUUUUUGGAAAUUAAAUCUUACCGACUACGUAGUGGGUCUUAGUUGAGUAUAGAAUGGUUCACACGUUUGUACUGCAAAAAAACGCAUACAGUUUAACCAUGUGAACAGCUCUGUAUUCUGUGUAUGCACUAAGUGUACGUAUUCGGUAAGAUUUAUUCAAAAAGUGUGCGGGUCUUGUGAACGUGUUCGCUCUUAUACAAGAAGUGUGGUAUUGUGUAUAAUGUCGGGUAAACGGAGUCUUAGGCUUCGAUCAGACGCUCGGGCGAUAGUAACCUGAGUGUCCAGCCACAGCAAUAAAAAAAAGUGAUAAAAUUGACACUUAAAUAAUAAAUAUCUAUCAUAAAAUGUAAAAAAUUGUUGGAAAAAUAGCGCAAAUUCAUUCGGCGUAUGAGUAUCGUAUCGUAGGGCUUAAAUUUUAUAGAACUUUUAGAAUUAGAACCCUUUUUUACACUAUUUCACUGAGUACGCUUCUGACUACACAUUCGACCAAUACGAUGUGGAGAAAGGUAUCCUUAGUAAAAGUUUGUGCACCUCGAAAACUUUGAUAGUUUUCGUACGUUUUUGUCGCAGCAACCCAGCACAGUACAGAAACCUGCUCAAUCUAGAGAUACUCCCCUAGCGUGGGCUGGGUCUGAUGUGAAACGAUCAAAAUACUGUCAAAAUAGACAUUUUAAAUGUCAUAGAGUCAGGGCCCUGAUUGGUGCUUGACGCGUCACAAAUUUUAACAGAUCAAGUGUAUAAAAAAUUUAGAUUGUAUAGGUACUUCAGGUUCAGUUUUAUUAGAGAAAAUAAAAAUCUUAAACUUAAUUACAAUAAAUAUUAGUCAUAGCUAAUUAAUUCUAUUAUUUACAAAUGAAAACCUUUCAAUUUUGAAUGCUCGUAACGUAAUGUAUUUUGUCUAGUAGGUCUUAAUAAUAAUUUCUUGUGCUGUUUAUAUUGAUUCAUUUGUUAAUGCAUUAAUUGAUUAUUAUUAUUUCAAUAGAUGUGUAAAGUUGUAUGCAAUGUAAUAGUUUGGCCAAAAAUAAAGCUUAUUUAUUCAAA